GACACUGGAUUACACCCCUUCUUUUUGUCUUAUGACUGCAGAGGUGCUAAACAGGCCACUCUACCAUGAAUGCUCCCUUAGAUUAGAAU